GACACACACAACUAGGGUGUGUGUGCGUGUGUUGUCAAACUGGUUAUGUAUCAAGCCUCAAGAUGGCGCUGCUGUUCAACAGAAGAUCAACAUUGCAACAUCAACAAGGGUUUGGAAUAAUCACCACUUGAUGAGUAUACCAGAGGGACAGCUCUGAUUG